rnacentral:lncRNA from 1 species
CCAUGAUGGAGAGUGGGUUUUAGGGUACGGAUGGUUGGCUCUCUCUUGCUUCCAGUUGGGUCACAGAGGGCAGCCUGAGUGAAUCCUUGGAGCUGGAAUUUGCGGUGGUCACCCACUUCUUGUGAGAAGAUCUGAUAGGAACAGCCAGUUCCAAUCUAUGACUGUUCUCCAGCCAGAUAUUUUUGGAAGUUAGAUAUCAUAUUGGCUAACAAAAUGAGGUAGUACCUCAUGAGUUAAACUUUAUCUGUGACUGAAGAAUAACACCAGCUCUGGUGACAUGACCGGUGCUUUGCUUUUUUCCCACUGAAAUGCUUUCAUUUGGAAUGCUCAGUUCUGAAUGAAGACCACCUGUGUGAAUGGAACCAAGUGGCACCCUUCUAGUGGCUCAUCG